rnacentral:rRNA from 1 species
GCCUGGUGGAUGGCUCGGCUUGGGUGCCGACGAAGGGCGUGGCAAGCUGCGAUAAGCCCCGGGUAGGCGCAGGCAGCCGUCGAUCCGGGGAUGCCCGAAUGGGACUUCCUACCGGCCUUCGGGCCGGUGCUCCGUGAGGAGCGGGAACCCCCCGAAGUGAAACAUCUCAGUAGGGGGAGGAGGAGAAACCAAUAGGGAUUCCCUGAGUAGCGGCGAGCGAAAGGGGAAGAGCCCAAACCGAACGCCGAGGCGAAGAGUCUCGGCGGAUGUGGUGUAGAGGGGCUGGCCGCCCCCUCCUCGGCGAAGCCGAAGAGAGCUGGAAAGCUCCGCCGUAGAGGGUGAUAGCCCCGUAGGCGUAAGCCGAGAGGGGAUGGGCCGGCUUCCGGAGUAGCGCGCCUUGAGACUGGCGCGUGAAUCUGGGAGACAUUAACUUCCAAGGCUAAAUACACCCCAAGACCGAUAGCGCACUAGUACGGUGACGGAAAGCUGAAAAGAACCCCGGGAGGGGCGUGAAAAGAGCCUGAAACCAGGCAGUUACAGACGUGUGCGGCCCGAAAGGGCUUGAACCUCCCCGAAGGAGGCCGCGGCGACGCGGUAGUACGAGGGGAGGGGACCAGGGUCGCACGCUCCGUCUUGAAACACGGGCCGGGGAGUUCACCCGCGUGGCGAGCUUAAGGGUGUAAAGCCCGGAGGCGUAGGGAAACCGAAGGCGCGCAGCCGGCCUCUGGCCGGUGAGGCGCUGGGUCCGAUAAGGGCCCGGAGUCACGCGGGUGAGGCUAGAAGCCGGGUGAUCUAGCCCUGGGCAGGGUGAAGUCAGGCGAAAGCCUGAUGGAGGCCCGAAAGGGUGCUGACGUGCAGCUCGCUCCCCUGACCUGGGGCUAGGGGUAAAAGGCCAAUCUAACCCGGGGAUAGCUAGUUCCCUCCGAAGUAUGCCGCAGCAUAGCCCCGGGGGAGGCGGCCGGCGGGGUAGAGCACCGAUUGAGGGGUAAGGGGCCGAGGAGGCCUCGCCUCCCUAUCGAACUCCGAAUCCGCCGGCGCCGUAGAACCCGGGAGAUGGGGCGCACGGGUUAAGCCCGUGCCCCGAGAGGGGAACAACCCUGACUGGGGUUAAGGCCCCUAAGUGCUGGCUAAGUGACAAACGGAAGGGCGUCCUAAGCCUAAGACAGCGGGGAGGUAGGCUUAGAAGCAGCCAUCCUUUAAAGAGUGCGUAACAGCUCACCCGCCGAGGCUUAGGGCCCCGAAGAUGGACGGGUCUAAGCCAGCCGCCGAUACCCCAGGGCUGCCCCGGAUAGGGGCAGUUCGGUAGGAGGGCGUCCCGAUUGGGCAGAAGCAGGGCCGUGAGGUCCUGUGGACCGAUCGGGAUUGCAGAUCCCGGCGGUAGUAACAGCGUAGUCGGGUGAGAAUCCCGACCGCCGGAAGGGCAAGGGUUUCCCGGCGAUGCGUCGUCAGCCGGGAGUUAGCCGGUCCUAAGGCCAGCGUUAACAUAGCUGGCCGAAAGGGAAACGGGUUAAUAUUCCCGUGCUGCGGGGGUACGUGCGGCGACGCUAGGCCCCGGGCGUGACGCUUCGGGGUAGGCCGAGCAGGGCUGUCGCCCUGUUUAACUGCUGAAGCCUGGGGAGAACCGUAAUGGUGAGAACCAGGCGAAGGCAGGAAUAGCCUCCCGCCUUAGGGGGGUUCGGCCGAACCCUGGAGCCCUUGAAAAGCGCCCGGGGAAGGAUCCCCCGCAACCGUACCCAGAACCGACACAGGUGCCCUGGGUGAGAAGCCUAAGGCGUGUCGGGGUACUCCAGGCGAGGGAACUCGGCAAACUGGCCCCGUACCCUAGGUAGAAGGGGUGCCUGCUGCGUUGGCCACGAGGCUGGCGCGGCAGGUCGCAGUGACAGGGGGGUCCCGGCUGUUUAAUAAAAACAUAGGUAGCCGCAAGCCCGAAAGGGUGUGUACGGCUGCUGAAUCCUGUCCAGUGGCGGUACCUGAAACCCGGGUCCAACCGGGCUAAGGGCCGCUAAACGACGGGAGUAACUCUGACUCUCUUAAGGUAGCCAAAUGCCUUGUCGGGUAAGUUCCGACGUGCAUGAAUGGAUCCACGAGGGCCCCGCUGUCCCCGCCUGGAGCCCGGUGAACCCACCUGCUGGCCGAACAGUCCAGCGACCCCCAGCGGGAAGAGAAGACCCCGUGGAGCUUUACUGCAGCCUGUCGUUGGGAUGCGGCCGUGCCUGCAUAGCGUAGGUGGGAGCCUUUGAACACGCCUCUCCGGGGGCGUGGGAGGCGCCAAUGGAACACCACCCAGGUGCGGCUGCGUCCCUAACCGAGGCCUGGCAGCCCGGGACAGCGGCAGGUGGGCAGUUUGGCUGGGGCGGCACCCCCUUGAUAAGGAAUCGAGGGGGCCCAAAGGUCGGCUCAGGCGGGACGGAAACCCGCCGUAGAGGGCAAGGCCAAAAGCCGGCCUGACCGGAACCUGCACAAUGAGGGUUCCGGAGGCGAAAGCCCGGCCUAGCGAGCUACCGUGCCCCUAUUAAUGAGGGCCGGUAGUGACAGAAAAGUUACCCCGGGGGUAACAGGCUCGUCGCGGGCGAGAGUUCACAUCGACCCCGCGGCUCGGUACCUCGAUGUCGGCUCUCCCCAACCUGGCCUCGCAUAAGGGGCCAAGGGUGAGGCUGCUCGCCUAUUAAAGGGGAACGUGAGCUGGGUUUAGACCGUCGUGAGACAGGUCGGGUUCUAUCUGCUGGGGGUGCUGGCCGUCUGAGGGGAAAGUGUCUCUAGUACGAGAGGAACGAGACGCUGGGGCCUCUGGUCUACCGGUUGUCCGACAGGGCAAAGCCGGGCAGCCACGCCCCCGCGGAUAAGGGCUGAAAGCAUCUAAGCCCGAAGCCGCUCCCGAAACGAGACGGCCGCUCCCACGCCCGGCGCCCAGCGACCGGGGUGGGACGAGGGCUCCCGUAGAAGACGGGUUUGAUGGGGUCGGGGUGUAAGCGC